AGAGUUUGAUCCUGGCUCAGGACGAACGCUGGCGGCGUGCCUAACACAUGCAAGUCGAACGAAGCUCUGCGAUACAAGACUUCGGUCAAGUUGAACGGAUGACUUAGUGGCGGACGGGUGAGUAACGCGUGAACAAUCUGUCCCAGACAGGGGGAUAACAGAUGGAAACAUCUGCUAAUACCGCAUAAGACCACGGGAUCGCAUGGUACUGAGGUAAAAGGAGCAAUCCGGUCUGGGGUGAGUUCGCGUCCGAUUAGCUAGUUGGCGAGGUAACGGCCACCAAGGCGACGAUCGGUAGCCGACCUGAGAGGGUGAUCGGCCACAUUGGAACUGAGAGACGGUCCAAACUCCUACGGGAGCA
rnacentral:rRNA from 1 species